GAAUUUCUCCUCUUAGUUCCUCCUCUUAGAGGAGGGGCAGGAACGACUGUACUCUUUCUGUGCUGCUUUGAAAGCCUGAAGUGCUCCAAAAGGAAGGUCGGACAAAGCGUUUCUUCACAUUAAUUCCUUUGAGUGGCAUUUAGACUUAACCAAGCGUGUUACAGACUUUUAUUACAAUAGCAAAGUCAGUGCUGGGAAGUUUUGCUCUCGCAUGCUUUGUAGCUCUAGCACUACGGAGACCUUUUAAGAGCACGGGAGCUGCUGAAAAGAAUUACCUUGAGGUACUCUGGGGCCUCUUUCUGCUGUAAUUCUGCCAUCUCCUCCAGCGGUGGGGAAUUAACCACGGCUCCCGAGUGCUGCCACAUUUGCUGCCAGCCGAUGCCGUCUCCCGCCGGGCCAGCAGGUUACAGCACCGGUUAGCUCACGCGGACAUGAACCCUUGGAAAGGCGACGGGACGGGACGUGACAGCAGGAGAGCAAAGCUUCGGCAUACGCCUGGUGCAAGUGCAGGAAAUGUAGCGCAUUCUGCUGCAGCAAAGGCUCCUCUGCCGCCUCCGGACCUGGGUGACGCUGGCCUAAAGUAUCCUUCCUGGGAAAAUCCCUGUGGAGCGUUAUGGUUAUAGCUGUGGCUGCAGAAUACUAAUCUCACAAACACUUUAUGAAACAAAGUGAUGAUAAUUUCUUUAGUUUCUCUCUGAUGAGUUUUAGCAUAUAUUAUUUCCUUUUUGUUUCUGCUGGGAUAAGGUUUGAGACAGAAAUCUGCACCUAAAUUUUUUGUUCUUGAGACAUAGCAGCCAAAAAUAUGUUCAACUUACCAAACAGUUCGUAGACCCACACCAAAACUAGCAAUAGGCAUUGUCCCUGAGAUGUAAUUUUCUAUAGUCUCAGUGAAACUGAGAUAUAUAUACACAUAUAUAACAUUUCAGAUUAUGUAAUUCCACCAUCUGCUGCUUUACAUAAACAGUGCUCAUAUUCCACCUCUGCUUCUUUACAUAAUGGUGUCCCCCGUAUGAAUCAUUACUUAUGUGCGACAUGGGGCAGCUGAUGAAGGAUGGGCUAUACUUUUUGUUCUCCUCUAAAUGCCCGCUCCUUCUAGUGAGGUAGAGGUGGAGAACUUGCAGAGCAGAAACACCAUGUACUGUAACAUUGCCCAUUUGUUUCCCACUUACUGUCUUUGUUCCUACAUAUGCAAACCAGGCAGAUUGUGUUUACUUUGAUAAGCAACUUUACUGCAGGGUCAAGUAGAAAGAGAAGAUUGGCAGGAAAGGAGCAAAUCUUCCUUAAACAAAAAUGUCUGCAAUAAUUAGCAAAUGUGGCAAGAAAGAGUUGAUAAACAAGUAAAAGGUGAGAAGUGAAAGGUAAGCUUCAGGGCAAUUCAUUAAGAUGGUAAAUGAAGAGCAAACCAAAAUUUCUGCAGGCAUUUAGCAGAUGGGAGGGUAUUCUGGGAGCAUGGCAUUUGUUCAAGCAGUGAGUAAAAGCUAGAAAUACAUGGAUUCAGGACCAUUUUUUAAAGGAAUCAUCAGUUUAUUUUUCAGAAACAAACCAUGAGGAAAGCAAGGCAGUGUUUUAUGUUUUCUUUGCCUGCAUUUGUAUUUCUGCUGUUUAGGGAGCCUAAAAAAAGGAAAGCCUGCUUUUCAAAAUUGGAGAUGCCACACCCAACUCUGCUUUUCAAUUACAGGUGCCAAUGUGUUGAUUUAAUUAACCUGCAGUGCAGCACACAUGCAACUGAUGUGGUUUGGGAUCUAACGUGUAUCCUCCUGUGGAGCUGAGUCCUACUGCCUAUACAUCUUCCAGGGGGUUUCUUCCCACCUCUCUUCAGUCCCCAGAAGGCAGCCAGCUACUCCUGCUGGUGACUUAGGCUCCUUCUGUAGCAGAGAAAUUGGGAGGCACCUCUGGAGGCCAAGUCAAAGCUCAGAUCUGCAGCAGAGGAAUUUCUUGAUGCCUGAUUGCAGCCAACAGGAGCUGUCACCUGGACUGCAGACUUCAAGGACGGAUGCCCAGGUCAGCUGUAUCCUUCUGUGGGAUUUCCAGAUGAUGACCCAUUAUAGGAUGUUCUACAGAAAAGAAAUCGGCUUGGAUUUGGCACAGGGUCAAAGAUUGCCAAUGAGCUCCCGGUAGCACAGCAGAAGGCCGGCCUCUCCUGCCGACGUAUCAGCUGUAUUACAAAGUGGGAUUUCAAGGUAAAAUCUUGAGCAUCGCGGGUGGCGGCAGCAGGUCCCCACCAAGCAGCAAAGCCUUCUCCCCGAGGAGCAGAUGGAUAAUGGUGAGAUACACCAGAGAUGGGCUGGGGGGAGAGGGGGAGAAAGGGGGAAAUUAAAUGUUACCAUUGUCUUUUUGUCUGACUGGGAGCCAGGGCAGAGAGACGUCGCUGAGCUGUGCUGCUGACACCGACUGAAGAUCAGUCCCUGGCUUUUACAACACACAGGGGCAAUUAAGUUUUACACAGUGCCUCGCGUUUCGUAGUAAAAUUCAGUGUCACCCUGAGAUCUGCAGGAGUCCAGCGCUCGUGGCGGUCAGCGGUAAUGUCAGAGGCUGCCUGCCCGCCAGCAGAGGAAGGAUAUUUAUAUUUUCCUGGUGAAGCACCUAACAAACGUCAUGUUCUGAGGUAGUCUGCAGCUCCCGUUGGGCAGCCUGGUGCUCUGGCUGCUCCAGCGCCAGGAGGCAGCGGGCAGCGAUGGGCAGCGGUUGGGGUUUUUCCCCCGGUCAGCUCCAGUUAGGCAGUUGCACGGGGGACAGUGUGGUGUCACCUGCAGAUGCCCCCGUCUCUCCCCGCAGCGAGGCACGCCGUGCCCCGAGAGCCGGGCGAGGACGGACGCUGGCUGCCCAGGGACACGGGCUGCGGCAAAUCUCCCCUCGGGAUUUUCCCAGCAGCGCAGGGCUGUAGCGAUGCUGUGUGGCCGCACGCUUGUUCUGCCAGAUUUCUCUGAACAAACACCACAUGUCAUAAACAAGGUUACUGAACAUUUUUUUAACUAAAAGCAUGCAAUAUGUAGGGUUUAAGUUGUUUAAUGAAGCAUUAUAAUUGAAUGGUAAUAGCUGUUCUUUCAAAGUCCUGAAAAUAGAUGGAAAUCUGUUAGGAUCAAUGUAUUGUCUACAGGGAACUAAUCUAUCUCUGAAAGAAGCUGGUGAUUUGUUCUUGUUGUUCUAUGAAAUUAGAAAAUACUGCUAUUUAUGAAGCACAUUUAUAAACCUUGCUCUCUACUUUUAAAUAGUUGGCUUAAGGGUAUUUACUACAAUUCACAUUUAUCAAAUAAUGCACAUGUAGCUCCAUUACAAAACCAACUUCAAUUAAAAACAGAUUUGAGAAGUAAUGUAGUAUGUAGGCUGUAAAGCUCUAGUGGAAGGAAAAUGUACCUGGUUAAAGAAUCAAAUGCAGCUCUUAAAACCUGGACUGGUGGUAUUUUAGCCUUUAAUACAAUUGUGUUCCCAUAAAACCUUUUAUUGGCAUGAUGCUGGUCAUGGAGAUGACUGCCAAAGUCAUUCUGCCAGUGACUUUGCAGAAUUUGGUCUCCUUGGAAGUGAACAGCAAUGUAUGAGUAACUAAACAAGAACGUGUAUUUUUUUAUGAACAUUCAGACUAGAUCUGUAUCUGAACAGGAAAUCAAUGCUCAGGUGACUAGGUGGGACAGGUAAUGGGAAUUUUAAACCCCAUGGGAAAUAAAAAAUGAAAGAAACAGAGACCAUUGGGCUGUACUUCAGGAGUUUUCUGCAGUCAGAGGUGUUGUACCUUAAAAACCACACACCGUUGUCAUAUGUUAUCAAAAUCCAUUCCGAGCUCUUACAUGUCCACUUGACUUCUGCGAGGAGAAGAGUAAAAUGAAAAUGUUGUAAUGGAUUAGAGAAGGCUAAACAAGCCAGCGCCUUUCAAUGUGAGCCUGUGACAUGUCAGAACUGGCAAAAUAUUUCACUGUGCAAGUUAUUAAAAAUGAGGAAAUUGUAUACGGUGUAAAGUUUGAUCUUGAUUGAUUGUGUAUGCUUAGAGCUAAGUCAGGUCAAUCCAAGCCACUGCAUUAAAACAGCAGUGACUUGACAGGAAUUGCAUAGGCUGCUAACAUGCUCAAAACUAUUUUCACUACUUCGCUAAAAUAAAUACCUCAGUCCUGCCAAAACAUAUUAAAGGUAAAAUGAGUCACCACGAAGGCAAACUAAAAGAAAACUCCCUUGCAGGAGGUGAACGAUGCUCUUGGUGCAGACCCAUGCUCCUGCCCACGGCAGCAGGAAGGAUGCGAGGGGGCUGCAGACCCGGGGAGGCUCCCGCGUGGUGGGCCAGCUCUGCGGGCUGGGCUCUCCCGAGGAAGGCGAAAUGUUCUUGUUAGUAACCCCGGCAGCUCGUGCAACUGCCUGGCACAGGCUGCGGCGGGGACCAGGCGUGCAAGGGUGGGCAGGAAUACACCAAGGGGUGAGGUCCAUCGAAAGGGAUGGAGCAGUGGCGUGAGCUGGGCUCCAGCCUGGGACUGACAAAGCUGGGAAGACCGGGCAGGCCGACGAUGAAAAACACCAUUGUCCAUGUGCCCAAGUCCUAGGUGCUUUUCCUAAGGGAUUAUUGCAGCAUGGGAGAUGUCAUAAAAUAGCCCUUUCUCAGACUGGAUACUGAUAAAAAACAUCCAGCUCAGGACAGUUCAGAGUCUCUGUGACAGUUGAUGUUGCCCCUUUUUAAUCUUUCAAAUUCCUUUUGUGGCUGAUACUUGGGGAAUUUUCCCCGCCCCGGUUCCUGUGCUAGGUGUUCACCCCAAGGGCAGUGAAUGGCUGUGGCUGCUGAGUGCCGUGUGGAGGUGAGGUGGCAAAACUGUUGAGCUUUCUCCUUCCCAGGUCGAUUUGCUGGGUUUUGUUUGUUUUUUAUUUUCUCUUACUGAUUUGAGGCAUCUGAGGCAAAAUACUCCCCCUUUUAAAGUUUGUUGAAUUUGCAUCAGCUGCAACUCCUGUGGGAAAGUCACAGCUGCUUAUAUAUGUGUAUGCAUAUGGAGAUACAAAAAAUAAUAGCAGUAUUGAGACAAAGCAAUGGGCUCUUUGUGCACUUGGACGGGGCUCAGGGCCGGUCCGUGUCUGCCUGACGUCCCCCCCCCAUGUAUGUAUACAUACCUAAUGGGAAAGCCUGUCAGGGAAUCGUUUCUUGGUUCAGCGUUUGCGGGGCAUGAACCAGCAAGCGCUGUCGUGGUUGGGGGAUCAUGUCCAUCCCCCGCUGACGGGGUCUGUGCCAGGCUUGCCCCCCGCGGUGCUGAGCGCGGCUCUCCUGCGCAUGGCUACUCCAGCAGCAACGGGGGCAUGGGCAGGAUGGAUCCCGCGGCCGGGGCUGGCGGGUGUCCAGCUAUCUGCUCCCAGAGCAGCUUCCCAAACACUGCGAGGGCUGAUGACUGCGGGGCAAGGGAACAGCCUCAUGAGAUGGAAUGGCUUCAAAUAGCCUUCGUCCCUCAGUGAGAGGGGAAGGAAAAAAACCCUCAUUUUUAGAAAACCUGAUGAGCAGGAAUUAGCUAGGGGUACGUGCCUGCGAUGAGGCUGAAUCUGAAGUAACUAUAAAUAUCUACAAGUCCUCAGAAAAAGACAAGGAUGUGAAGCUCCUUGAAUGUCUCUAACAAGUGAAGGAGUUCGAAAAGGUCUCUUUUUUCUUUCAGGUUCUUUCCCCAUAUCAAAUCAAGGAGAAUUGAGAAUGAAUCCCUAAACUUCUAAUCUCUGCUUUGUGAAUAUAUUAUCUUCAUGGCUGAAAAGUUAAGCUAUUUCCAUUUUUUGAGCUGGCCACAAACAUAACUAAAAGCUGUAGACUAAAGAUUGAAAUACAAAGUUAAAUUGCAGAUGAGGAACAAACUUUUUCUUAGUAAUUUUCCAGAGGAAAAGCAUUUAUAUUGUAUUUCUCACGGUGCAAUCUGCUUUCUCCUUGCCGCCUCGAGGAGCGCGGUGCCGGGCAGCGUGGCCCCGCAGCGGGAGGCAGCAGCUCCCCUCCCGCCUGGGGUCCCGCCUGGGCACCCCAGCGAGCGUUCGAUCUCCUCGCGUCCCGACUCGGGGCCGCAGCCCCUGCGCCUGAAGUGCAAUGGGGACCACAGGACCUCCUCUCCGAUGGUUUCAGGGCUGGUUCCAGGUGGGAGACUGUGCUCGUGUUGCACGGCCCAAACACGGGGCCGUGCUCUGCACCCCCAGCCAGCGCAGCACGGCCAGGCUGCGGUCGUCGUCCGUCAGCGCUGGGAACAGCGGAGCACGCAGCGUCCGGCCCCUCCUGCAGCAGAGCCAGUGAUGCCGAGCUUGGGUCUCCCUCUUCCCAGUUCCCUCUUCCCAGUUCCCAGGGUGGUGGCAGCCUGACCCAGCCGAGGGGGGGGGGCAGGCGAACCUGCCGCCGGGCUUUUUCUGGGCACGGUGCUGGCGUUUCGUCAGGUUCCCCAGGGGUGACCUUGAACAAAUCAUGUAAUGCCUCUUUGUUUUAGCUCCCUGGCUCUAAAAGUGGGAAUAAUCAUUCUGCUCUCCAGCUGCCUGCAUUUUGGCUGCAACCCCUGGGCCGUGUCCCCCGCCUCGCACUGCCAGGCACUUGGAGGAUGCUAAUACUAAUAGCAAUGACCCCCCCGCUCCUCACUUCUUCAUCGUGAACUUCUCUCAAUCUUGCCGCGAUGCUGGAAACCCGAAACACCAGGGCACAAAACCACACGAAAAGUGCUUAUUUAUUAGCUGCGUGUGGAGGAAAGGGGGUUGAGCAGUAACACAAUAGCCACGCAGCCAGUGCGAGAAGUCAAGACCAUUUUAAGGGGCAGCUACAGCUGCUGUGGGCGAGAACAAUAGUCACAGAGCUUAUUAAAGCCAGCGGGAUGUAAUCAAUGGUUGGGUUGGUUUUUUUAAUGAGGAAGCAGAAUUGAAUAGAAUAGGCUGCAGAUAUAGCCAGUGCAUUGUGUGUUGAGUUGCGUGAAAUUGUUAACAGUCUUUUUUCCCUCUGGUAAGAACCCUGGUACAAAUUAUUCUGGGGACUAAGCAGGGGAAGAGCUUUUAGAUCUCGUGUGUUAAAGUUUAAACCACAAGGAGAUGACUGCAAGAGUCCAGCCUGUGGAGCAACACGCAGAGUGGGCUUGAGCACGCAGGUUUCGCCGUUAGCCUGGCAGGCUGGAAUGUGUCUUUGAAAGGUGUUUUACAAGACCAAAUAGCCAGAAACCCACUGCUCGUCUGCUGGGGGGCGAAGGAGGGGACGAGCCCCUGGCCUGGAGGGGGAUCUGGUGGCACCAGGCAUCACCCCAGAGCAACCCGCCCUGCUCUGCAGCGAGGAUCCGCUUCUCGAGAGCAAAAUUUUCCAAUUAAUUCGUUCACUCAAAAGAAAUGCAGAGCCAAGUUGUCAGGUUGAUUUGAACGCAUGAAGAGUUUCUGUCAAAAAGUUAAAAGUGAAAAAAAGUAUAUGUAACGCUUUCUGUUGAUGUUUUACAACCUGAGAAGCGGAGAGGGACGUGCUGGCCGGUCUGGGGCUGCAUUCGCCAUGGGGGCUCUUCAGGAGGUGUGCUUGAGAUAACUCUUGUGGGUAAAAGUUUGGUUACAAGCAGAGCACCAAGAGCUGCCAAAACCUAGAAGAAUAAUACUACAUCUUAAGCCAACUAAACUUUGUCCGAAAGGGCAUCCUGUAAUGAAUUUAAACAAGCUCGAAACAAAGCUUAAAGCAUUAGAAAAAACAUUUGCAAUCUCAGGACUUGGACAGCCAGAUGCCACAAUCUAAUAAUUUAAUAUAGUCUUAAUUAGCUUUUGGUGUUGGGUUUUUUUAUAAAGCAAUCUGUCCUUCGCUGUUCAGAAACGACUUUCAUGCAAACUGUGUUACUGUUACGAUGAGCCAAACCUGCAGGUGCCGGUCGGCUUCUUGCUCGAGGAACGUGAACUAAGUUUUCUGAGAGCAGCAACCAAAGCCCUCCUGUCCUUACUACCUGUAAACAGGCAAGCAGAAUGCCAAUUACUUAAAACAGUGCUUAGGAAUAGGUGUAUCCCUACAGCUGAGAAACGGGCCAGCAGCUGGUAGGAUUCUUCCCCAUCUCCAGAGGUCUGCAGCUGAGGCCGUGCCAGACGAAGAAAAGAAGCUUUCUCUCCAGACCUAGAAGCCCACCUGCAUUUUGUUAACUUCUAGAGCUGCCUGGGAAUGAAAAAGCCGCAAGCUGAAGCUCGUAAGAAAAAUGGUCAACUAUCUGUAAUUGUCAGUGCUAGCCAAAAAAGCAGAAAUGGCUCUUUUUAUAGAGCUGAACAGGUCCAGCAGUAAUAAAUCACUGCUGCAGCCUGGUGCUUGGGUUGUGGGUGACCUGUCACCAAGAGUAAAUGACAAAGUGACUUUGUGAAAGGAAGAACAGGGAACACGAGGGACACGUAAACGCUGUGGAGGGUUUGGAUGGGGGGAGCAAUACUGCCGAGGGUCAGAGCAUCCCCAGCCGGAGGGUGUUGCGUGGGGAGGGAGGCAGCCCCCUCGGCGUGGGGCCGGUGGGUGGGAGCCAGCCUGGGGACGGGCAGGAGCGGACUGCAGUUCAGGCUAAGCCGAGUUUACAUGCAGGGACUGGAAAUCAGUUUUAGGAACAGGAGGGCUGAAAAACUUCCUUUGUUGCCAGAUCUGAAACAGUUUUGGUGCUCAUGUGGCUGGCGGGGGUGGGAGGUGUUGGUCUUUUUUGGUAUGAGGAUGGCUACCCUUCUUUUGGAUUAGAUGAAGAUGAAGGUUUGGGCUGGGAUCGAGUUUUACAAAAGAAAGGCUAAAAAGCCUGCACAUUUUCUGCUUUUCAAAGUACUGUAGACAGUCCCGUCCUUGUCUAGAAGUGGUGGUGAAGUGAGUCAGCUUAGGAAGAGAGCCAGGGACCAGGAGAGUGUUGGGGAAUUUAUGUGGUACCCCUCGAGGCGAAUUAAAAGAGAGGUUUGUGUGGGUACCGUAUAAAUUCCCCAACAAAAGCCGGGGAGCGGUGGGUCAGGGAUGCCGCUACGACUUACGUUUACCAAUCUGUACAACUGCAGUUCCCCACUCAUUUCCGACUGCCUUUCAGCAUCAGAUCAUCGCUCCAAUUCAAUUUGACGUAACAAGUAAUAAACAUGAUGUAUUCCCUGUGUUAUCUGUGGCAUGGUCUUUUAUGGAUGUCCCACGCCUUCAUGAAAACAUCUGCUGUGUUCAAGUUGUCCGGCGUGGUUACGAUGAAAAUCAUUUCACAAAGGAGAACUGAAUUAACCCCGGGACUCACCCCGGCCCACGUGCACGUGCGCGACGGCACACGCCGCGUGGGCCGAUCUGCCCAGGCACCCACGGCACCGUUCGGCUUGCGGGGACCAGGCAGUCCGGCAUCAGCUGACGGGCUCUCUGUGUGCGGAUGGUGAUUCCGCGCGGGAUCCCAGCCGGGUCGGGGUGCCGGUAUUUCCCGAGGAGGCUUUGCAGCCAGCCUUCAGAUAAUCUGUUUGCUAAUGAAAAGCAGAGAAGAAAGGAAAAAACUUUUAUUUUUUUCUUUCUUGCUAUGGAAACAAGAGGAAUUAAUAAUAGAAAUUCAAACUAAAGGCCUAUUUUUUAGUCUGUCUCAAGCCAGGAUUAUUAUGUGUUGAUUAUGAUUGAGAAAAGUAAUUUUCUUCCAUACAGACUGUAAUGGAUAAUGGCCAAAACAAAGCUGUUUACAGUCCUCAUUUUUUCAUGUAUUCAAACUCCAAGGAACCCCCCCCCUGCUCAGGGCUGCCUGUCGGCAAGGAGCAGCCGCUACCCCCAGGGGCUGCAGCAUCCCGUGGGCUGUGCAUGGCCAGGCAGCAUUGGGGGGGGCCCUGCCAGCCCCGAACCACUGGUGUUUCCCUUGCAGCAUCCACAGGAGAAGGUAAAAAAGUUCAAUUGGUUUUUCUUUGUGGAAACCCACUUUGUUGGUAAAAGCUCCCCGUCUGCCCCGGGGGGCUCCGGGGAUAGGUCCCGUUCCCCCACCGUGCAGGUGACAGAUGAUGGCUGACCCGCAGUCGCUGGUACAGCCGCAAGGUACGGGUGGAGACAGCCUGCUCCUACGGCCCCUGCCAGACCCCGGCACCGGGGGGGGGGCUGCCCACGGCCGGCAGCAUCGCCUGCCCCAGGCGUGAGCGAGGGGUGCGCGGCUGUCCGUCCUGUUGGAACAAAAAAAAGUUUGGAAUUAAAAUUUAGAAGGAAAUUUUACAGCCAAAGCCCAGCUUGGUGCCAGGGGCUACCCUGGGGCACAGACACCAGCACAAAGCCCCCGCAGAGCACGGGGGCUGCCCGCUGUCCCUACUGCAGCCCCGACUGGAGGAGCUGGCUCUCUCUGCAGCCAUGGGUUGUAUAUUUAGGAUCAUUUCUGCUGAUGCUGACAUAAUUAAGAGUUUGCUAAAUGUGAGCUUUUUUUUCCCCAAUAAAGAGUUAUUUUCUUGCUA